UACGUAGGUGGCAAGCGUUAUCCGGAUUUACUGGGUUUAAAGGGUGCGUAGGUGGGUCUGUAAGUCAGUGGUGAAAUCUCCGAGCUUAACUCGGAAACUGCCAUUGAUACUAUAGAUCUUGAAUUAUCUGGAGGUAAGCGGAAUAUGUCAUGUAGCGGUGAAAUGCUUAGAUAUGACAUAGAACACCAAUUGCGAAGGCAGCUUACUACGGAUCGAUUGACACUGAGGCACGAAAGCGUGGGGAUCAAACAGG
rnacentral:rRNA from 1 species